UACGUAGGGGGCUAGCGUUGUCCGGAAUCAUUGGGCGUAAAGAGCGUGUAGGCGGUCAGCACAAGUCAGUUGUGAAAUCUCCGGGCUUAACUCGGAAAGGUCAACUGAUACUGUGCGACUAGAGUGCGGAAGGGGCAACUGGAAUUCUCGGUGUAGCGGUGAAAUGCGUAGAUAUCGGGAGGAACACCAGUGGCGAAGGCGGCUACCUGGCCCACUCUUGACGCUGAGGCGCGAAAGCUAGGGGAGCGAACGGG
rnacentral:rRNA from 1 species